GCAUCGGUGGUUUAGUGGUAAAAUUAGCCGUUGCCAAUCGCAGCUUCGGCUAGCCCCGGGUUCGAUUCCCGGCCGAUGCA